GACGAACGCUGGCGGCGUGCUUAACAUAUGCAAGUCGAGCGGUAAGGCCCUUUCGGGGGUACACGAGCGGCGAACGGGUGAGUAACACGUGGGUGACCUGCCCUCAGCUCUGGGAUAAGCCUGGGAAACCGGGUCUAAUACUGGAUAUGACUCCAUGACGCAUGUUGUGGGGUGGAAAGCCUUGUGCGGCUGAGGAUGGGCCCGCGGCCUAUCAGCUUGUUGGUGGGGUGAGGCCUACCAAGGCGACGACGGGUAGCCGGCCUGAGAGGGCGACCGGCCACACUGGGACUGAGACACGGCCCAGACUCCUACGGGAGGCAGCAGUGGGGAAUCUUGCGCAAUGGGCGAAAGCCUGACGCAGCGACGCCGCGUGAGGGAUGACGGCCUGGUGUAAC
rnacentral:rRNA from 1 species